AAUUAAUUUUUGUCUUCUCAAUAUUGUAGCCAGCCUCUCUAAAUGGAACUGUGAAGUUUAGGUUCUUUCCCUUAGGGAUAGCCGACUUCUCCCAACUUCUUCCUGCUGAGCACACAGCCCACACCUCCUCUGCUGGGCCCAGGAGAAGCCACGGAAAGUGCAGCUGCCCAGAGCCCCGGAGGCGGAGCCGCUUCCUUCGCCUUAGGAGGAGGAGCAGCUGAAGCUGCCGCAGGACGCAGGAUCCGCAGUGCAAUGACCCAUCGCGUCUGCUCGCCUCCCCUCUGCUCCCCACCGUGAGGGGCCCGCCCCACCAGGCAGCGGGUGGUGACCUCCGCAGGAGGGCAGAUGUCUGGGCUGGGUCCUGGGAUUCAGUCACAGACCCCGUCCUCAUGGAGAGGGGCGACACAGGAACAGGACAUCGAGGAUCCCAAGGUGGUGCUGGGCACUGCUCAGAGAGGCAGAAUGCCAGGGAAGGACAAAGGACCCUGCUCUGCCCGGCCGUGCAUGCUGGGCCAGGGAUCGGAGACUGGCAAUACCAAGAGGAAACACACUUUUAAAAGAAAAUCUCCCUGGGGUCUUCAGACACCUGGAGCCUGUGACUUGGGCCCUGGGCCAAGCUUUGCACCUGUGAGCAGUGCUUCCUCCCACAGACUCUGCCCUGCAGGAAGCAGAGGCAGGAGUGGGCAGUGGAUCUCAGCUUCACACAGGGAAACGGUUUGCAGGUUUGCACUGCGACACAGCUGCUGGGUGGGUGACUGAUGGAAAGCAGCACACACACCCCAGAUCGCCCAUCCUGAAGACACCCAAGCCCCAUAAAUACACCAGGCUCGGGUCAUAAGGAGCCUCCCUCCCUUGAGGACCCACACUCUAUUUCUUUGAGCCCGUACUUUUAAGUUGCCACCUAAUAAAUCCCUUAAUGCUGCUUGCUGAUGC
rnacentral:lncRNA from 1 species